UCAGAACGAACGCUGAUGGCGUGCCUCAUACAUGCAAGUCGAGCGCGGUAGCAAUACCGAGCGGCGGACGGGUGAGUAACACGUAAACAAUCUGCCCUCAAGUGGGGAAUAACUAUCCCAACGGAUAGCUAAUACCGCAUAAGGAUGGAGGUGGCAUCACCUCUUCUCGAAAGGCUUCGGCCGCUUAAGGAUGAGUUUGCGUCCCAUUAGUUUGUUGGCGGGGUAACGGCCCACCAAGACUACGAUGGGUAUCCGGCCUGAGAGGGUGUACGGACACAUUGGGACUGAGAUACGGCCCAGACUCCUACGGGAGGCAGCAGUAGGGAAUUUUGCGCAAUGGGGGAAACCCUGACGCAGCAACGCCAUGUGUGGGAUGAAGCAUUUCGGUGUGUAAACCACUGUCAGCAGGGAAUAAAAGGUCCUCACGGACAUUUGAAUGUACCUGCAAAGGAAGCGCCGGCUAACUUCGUGCCAGCAGCCGCGGUAAUACGAGGGGCGCAAGUGUUGUUCGGAAUCACUGGGCGUAAAGGGAGCGUAGGCGGGCUUUUAAGUUAGGUGUUUAAUCCCGGGGCCCAACCCCGGACCGGCACCUAAAACUGGGAGUCUUGAAUAGUGGAGAGGUCAGUGGAAUUGGGGGUGUAGCGGUGGAAUGCGUAGAGAUCCCCAAGAACACCAGUUGCGAAGGCGGCUGACUGGACACAUAUUGACGCUGAGGCUCGAAAGCAUGGGGAGCAAACAGGAUUAGAUACCCUGGUAGUCCAUGCCGUAAACGAUGAAUACUAGGUAUUGGGCCCGUCAACGGUCCAGUGCCGCAGCUAACGCGUUAAGUAUUCCGCCUGGGGAGUACGGUCGCAAGAC
rnacentral:rRNA from 1 species